AUUGAACGCUGGCGGCAGGCCUAACACAUGCAAGUCGAGCGAGCGGCGGACGGGUGAGUAAUGUAUGGGGACUGCCCGAUAGAGGGGGAUAACUACUGGAAACGGUGGCUAAUACCGCAUACUAUCGGAUAACCCAUAUGGGAUUAGCUAGUAGGUGGGGUAAAGGCUCACCUAGGCGACGAUCUCUAGCUGGUCGGAGAGGAUGAUCAGCCACACUGGGACUGAGACACGGCCCAGACUCCUACGGAGUCAGCAGUGGGGAAUAUUGCACAAUGGGCGCAAUCCUGCUGCAGCCAUGCCGCGGGUAUGAGGAAGGCCUUCGGGUUGUAAAUUACUUUCAGCGAGGAGGCGUUACUCGCAGAGGAAGCACCGGCUAACUACGUGCCAGCCGCCGCGGUAAUAC
rnacentral:rRNA from 1 species